UCCGGUUUGUCACCGGCAGUCAUCCUAGAGUGCCCACCCGAAGUGCUGGCAACUAAGAUCAAGGGUUGCGCUCGUUGCGGGACUUAACCCAACAUCUCACGACACGAGCUGACGACAACCAUGCACCACCUGUCUCCCCUGUCCCGAAGGAAAGGAUCAUCUCUGAUCCGGUCAGGGGGAUGUCAAGACCUGGUAAGGUUCUUCGCGUUGCUUCGAAUUAAACCACAUACUCCACUGCUUGUGCGGGUCCCCGUCAAUUCCUUUGAGUUUCAGUCUUGCGACCGUACUCCCCAGGCGGAAUGCUUAAUGUGUUAACUUCGGCACCAAGGGUAUUGAAACCCCUAACACCUAGCAUUCAUCGUUUACGGCGUGGACUAC
rnacentral:misc_RNA from 1 species